CCCUUAGAUGUUCUGGGCCGCACGCGUGCUACACUGAGUGGAUCAGCGGGUCAGGUUGCGCGAAAGUGUUUCCUAAUCUUUAAAUCCGCUCGUGAUGGGGAUUGACGGUUGCAAUUUUCCGUCAUGAACGAGGAAUACCUUGUAAGCGCGGGUCAUCAUCCCGCGCUGAAUACGUCCCUGCCCUUUGUACACACCGCCCGUCGCUCCUACCGAUUGAAUGGUCCGGUGAAGCCUCCGGAUUGGCGCGCACCUCGGUGCCGCCGAGAAGUUGGCUAAACCUUACCAUUUAGAGGAAGGUGAAGUCGUAACA
rnacentral:rRNA from 1 species